UUCGAUGUCCUCGGCGAGGAAACCCGCUGAACUUAAGCAUAUCAAUAAGCGG
rnacentral:rRNA from 1 species